AAAUUCCUGUUAAACUCAAUGGAUGUUUUGAGUGUGCAAGGACGGGGCUAAGAAUUGUGUUCUACAUUCUGCACUUCUGAAGUCUCCCCAAGUAUCAGCACUUACAAUUAAAACUUUAAAGCAAAUAAGCAGCAGAUACAGCACAGAUGAAAUGCAUAUGAAAUGCCUCUGAACUCUCUGCGUGGUAGGAUGGAGCUCACAGAGUCAUUUAUCAUCACCUGUCCCCAAAUCCUUGCUUCAGGUUGCUGUGGAGGAAACCACUUAACAUCAAAGCCCCCUGACUGACUAGUGAGAACAUCAGCAGUGGACAGAAAGUCAAACAAGCUGAGCAUCAUGGAGUGUUCCAGUGAAAUACCUGACCUACCAUGUGCAAAAAGGAGAUUAAUCUAUAGCCUGAGAGGCUGUAUGACUGGAGCAGCAGGAGAGAAAUGAGCACUUAGCAGGAGCAAUGGGUAUGUUUAGUUUAUUCAAGUCCAGAGCCCACAGUAGCUUUAUUCAAGUAAAUGAUCUAGUCCAAAGAGAGGUUCUUUGAGCUCUGCACUAUAAUUAAUCUUCCCGUUCUGGUGAUUAAUUGCAGACACACACCUUAUCACUCCUGUUAAAUGACCCUCGUGCAUUUC